CAAAUAUAUUUCUGUAGUCCUACUGCUUUUGCCUCUCAACACUCCUUGACCUUCUGCCUGGUAACAUCCCUCAACCCUCCUCCAGGAGAAUGUGGCUGCCAAAACUCUUCGCUGACACAUGUGGGUGAGACCUGUGCCCAGUGCUAACCCAGAUGUUCUUCCUUUUUCUUAAAAGAAGGCAAAGAAGGAUUUUGGCUGCAUAAAGGGCUUGUCGAUUUGAGAUUUCUCUGCUCCACUGUGUCUUCCCAGAUUUGAAAAUGCCAGUAUUCCGUGGAGUGUCACGCUGUGCUGUGCCAUCAGAGAGUGGUGGUUCUCGAAAUAUUGGGGCAAAGUGUGGAGACAGAUGGGGGUUCCGGGGGGUUCCAGCUUCUGCGCUUAUGCCCCAGCUGGAUGGUGGCUGGUUUCUGGCUUUCCUGUUUUGUGCCGGGGUUCAUUUUGAGUCAGUACUUCCCAAAUGACAGAAAAGCAUGAGCAGCGUUAGUAUUUUCCUGUUUUCCUUGGGGUUGAUUUAUAUUUUCUAACUCAAAUAAAUUAAUA